rnacentral:rRNA from 1 species
AACGAACGCUGGCGGCGUGCUUUACACAUGCAAGUCGAGCGAGGCCGGGUAGCAAUGCCCGAGUCGAGCGGCGCACGGGCGAGUAACGCGUGGAUAACCUGCCUGUGGGUGGGGGAUAACCCGGGGAAACUCGGGCUAAUACCGCAUGACACCGCGAGGUCAAAGGGGGCCGCAAGGCUCUCGCCUGCAGAGGGGUCCGCGUCCGAUUAGCUAGUUGGCAGGGUAAAGGCCUACCAAGGCGACGAUCGGUAGCCGGCCUGAGAGGGUGAUCGGCCACACUGGAACUGAGACACGGUCCAGACUCCUACGGGAGGCAGCAGUGGGGAAUUUUGGACAAUGGGCGCAAGCCUGAUCCAGCCAUGCCGCGUGUGUGAAGAAGGCCUUCGGGUUGUAAAGCACUUUCGGCCGGAACGAAAUCGCGCGGAUUAAUAACCCGCGUGGAUGACGGUACCGGAAGAAGAAGCACCGGCUAACUACGUGCCAGCAGCCGCGGUAAUAC